CUCUGUCACAGUUGUAAGUGAUUAUUGUCUUUAGGUUUCUGUUUGCUAGACCAAGCAUCCUUCCUUAUUUUCACUGUAGGAUGAUGAUGAAGAGACCACUUCUGCUGUGACAGAAACAGAAAAUGUGGGGAGGCCCAUAGAGAAUAUGGCAGGAGAUUUUAAUACAGAUGAGGGUCCAUCUACCUCCACACAGAAUCUUAGCAGUUUGCCUGCCAAAAAGCUGUAUAAGGUCCACCUUUAAAAGCAAAUCAGAAAAAGUGACAUGGAGAUGGACCUUAUACAGCUUCAAAUGGAGGAGAAAAGGCUUAACCUAAAAAAGGCCAGACUUGAAAUUGAAUUGCUGGAGCACCAGCUUAAGGAAAUAAAGAAACAAUGAACAACACUUGACUGUUAACUGGUUUUAAU